UACGGAGGGUGCAAACGUUGCUCGGAAUCAUUGGGCGUAAAGCGCACGUAGGCGGCCCAGCAAGUCGGGUGUGAAAGCCCUCGGCUUAACCGAGGAAGUGCAUUCGAAACUACUGAGCUUGAAUACUGGAGAGGAUCGCGGAAUUCCCGGUGUAGAGGUGAAAUGCGCAGAUAUCAGGAGGAACACCGGUGGCGAAGGCGGGACUCUGGGCCGAUACUGACGCUGAGGAGCGAAAGCGUGGGGAGCAAACAGG
rnacentral:rRNA from 1 species